AUUUUUCUUUGAACUUUGAGGCCUGAUUUAGGGGUGGAAUCCCAUUGCUUUUCAUGUUAGAUGAAAUUUAGUGGGAUUUUAGUCUUUGAUUCAGUUAGCAUUUGGUUUAUGUUAAAUAAAAAAUCAAUAUCAUGGAAAAAAUUUGGCCAGUAGUUUAGUCUCUUGACAUGAAAAAUAGGAGUAACGUUUUGUUGCGUUUUGAAAAAUCUGCUUAAAGACAUGCAUGUAGUUAUCUGGUUUCAGAAACAGCUGUUUAAAUUGUCAGUCUGAACUAGGUCGUCAGGUUCACUUAUUAUCAGACCUUAACCUGGGGCAAAGGUUUUGGUAUCUGCCCACUUACAGAUUUAACAAAUGAAAAUUACAUGAGGGUAUUAUGAGCAGUCUUUAUUGGAAAGAUAUUUCCUGGACUAAAAAUGGGCAAUAUUUGCAAUAGUUGAUGCCUAUUCUGGAAGCUUUGAAAUUAACCAGAGAAUGAAGUCAUUUAGUACAUCUGAAACAGGUCUGUGCGAUACCUCAAGACAACAUGGAUUAGCUCCUUCUUAUUCUUUAACGUGGGCCAGAUCUUUUUGUCCUCUCCAGAGCUGGUAUCCUAAAUUAUUACCAGAUAGUAUUUUUACGUUAUUCAUCAUCAUAACAAAAAACAUUAAAAGACUGAUUUCUGCAUUUAUAUUUAUUCUCAGAUGAUAUGAAAUGCUAAAUUUCUUAUAGUAUGUGUUUUCUAAUUUCUAUUUUGUUGAAUAAAACUACUUCUACCUUCAUGCAGUCUUUAUAAUCCACUGUCCAUAGCAUCUUCUUCCUUUAAACCUAUAGCCCCAAAAAAGACCCUCUGAAACUCUAGGACUAGGUUUUAAAAAGUCUGAACUUGUUAUCUAAAUUUCCUUUAAGAAACCUAGUGUACUAUCUCUUGAACUACACUGUGGAACAGUAAUUUGUGCUCAGGUUAGUGGAAGAUGAUGGGGCUCACUGGAGACACCACAUUGUUCUGAAAAGUAAUUCCUAAUGAGAGGUUACUGACUUUUAGAGCCAUUCUGUAUAACCAUCUGUGAGUCUAAGGAUUAAUUGUAUUGGUGAUUUGUAAUAAGAUUGAGUUGUGCAACACUGCUUGCAUCUGUCUAGACAAGACAUUUGCUUCACUUUUAAAAUGCACAUAUCUUUGGAGAAGUCAUUUACUCUACACAAAUACACCCUGAAUCCCACUGUUUAGAAUCCUUACAGAUCUAUUACAUCUACACUAAAAAUGUUGUACUUGCACACCUUAGUUUAUUAAAAAAAAAAAAAAUGUAUUUCUUCAAUAGCCGGGUAUUUGGAUUGUACUCUUGAUAUAUUUGAAUGUGACUCUUAGAUUUAAGUGCACUAUUAUUCAUGUCUUACACAAUAAAAUUGCACUGUAUGGCAAAUGUGUCUAUAAUGUGUGCUUUGCUAAAACCUCAGAGUGCUGUAAGGUACAGGUUUCUAUAUUGUGAACCUGUCUCUCUCUCUCUCUUUCUAUACAUAUAUAUAUAUAUAUAUAUAGUCUUAGGGAAAAAUUCUGAACUUUUGUAAAUCUGUGUAACAUUUUAAUAUUAUUUGUAAUGUUUACUAAGUGAUAAGUUCACUUAUGUCCUGUAACUAGAAUCAUUCACCUUAAGUUGGCUGGUUUGUCAGAUUUGGUUUACUGAAUCAAAAUAGUCUUGUUGAAUGUGGUACUGUUCUUAAUGUGUAAUAUUUAUGUUUGGUCUUCUCCCCCGCCUCAGGGGACUGUUGCACAGAUGCUAGUGUUAAAUUUCAAUAAACAAUAAUAAAAUUUGAAUAUAUUCAAAUGCUGAUAAGUUAAA